AGUGAACGCUGGCGGUAGGCCUAACACAUGCAAGUCGAACGGCAGCACAGUAAGAGCUUGCUCUUACGGGUGGCGCGUGGCGGACGGGUGAGGCAUACAUCGGAAUCUACUUUUUCUUGGGGGUUAACGUAGGGAACCUUACGCUAUUACCCCAUACGUCCUACGGUUGCAUCCCUGUGUUCUUCGAACCUCGCGCGAUUGAAUUAGCCGUUGUCGGGUUAGCUAGUUGGCGGGGUAAAGGCCCACCAAGGCGACGAUACGAAGCAGUUCUGAGAGGAGGAUCAGACAAACUGGAACUGAGACACGGUACAGACUCCUACGGGACGCAGCAGAGGAGAAUGUAAGACAAGGGGAGCAAGCCUGAUCCAGCCAAACCGCGUGGGUGAAGAAGGCAUUCGGGUUGUAAAGCCAUUUUGUUGGGAAAGAAAAGCAGAAGGUUAAAACCUCGCUGUGCUGACGGUACCCAAAGAAUAAGCACCGGCUAACUUCGUG
rnacentral:rRNA from 1 species